rnacentral:ribozyme from 1 species
UUUUUUUUUUUUUUUUUCCCCUUUUUUUUUUUUUUUUUUUUCUUCAU